AGUCUCUGAGAAUAUCAGGUGCUUUGGCAUUCAGAACGUCUUUAUGAAUUCACAGAGUCCUGACACUUGGGCGGGGCUCUCUGGGCUGGGGUUUCUGCAUGUCUCUUUGAGCUCUGUGAUGUAUACCCCAGACCAAAUGGAUGUUCCAGAGACUGGGUGCCCUGAAGAUGAGCCCUUGGUUCUGUCUGCAACCUCAUUCUGCAGAAUUCUUGAGGGGCUCGGUGGAUGGGAAACAAAGAUGAAUAAUGCAUGAUUUCAACAAACGCUUACUGGGUGUGCAGCACAUAGCAGAUGCUGAGGAUAAAACAGUGAAGAAGACUUGAACCCUGACCUGGUAGAUUGCACAGUUCUGCUGGGGAGGCAGACAAGAAAAAACAAUGAUGAACAGAGGGCCUGGCACGCUGCCUGCUGGGGUAGGCAGGUGGCAAACACAAGGAGGAAGCCCUAGGAUCACAGACGGACAUGGCUCCUGCCUGGGAGGAUUUCCCAGUCUCGUAGGGAAUGAGGGAGGCCCUUGAGCACCCCCAGAUCCCUGCAGCGUGUGCUGAAGUUCCAUCGAGUCAGUGGGGGAGGUGAACACUGCCCCAGAGCACUGGGUGUUGGCCUCUGGGGAACAGAGAGAGGGAGCUUGGGGAACAGACAGAGGAAGUUGGAGGGUCAUUUUCUUGCAGGGAAAUAAUUAUUGCCCUCCUUCCCUGCGAUUUGUAGAGGAGGGCAACUUUUAGGAAUAAUGGUGUGUUAGGGAUUGAACUGUAUUCCCUCAAAAGCUGUAGAAGUCCUGACCUCCAGUACCUGUGAAUAGGACCUUAUUUGGAAAUAGGAUCUCUGCAGAUGAUCAGAGUUAAGAUGAAGCUAUUAAGUCAUUGAGGUUGGCUGGAAUCCAAUAUGACUGGUAAUAUUAGAUUCCAGCCAAUAUAAUAUUUUUAUAAAAUGGGGAAAUUUGAAUAUAUAGAGACACACACACACAAACACACACACACACACACAACACAAUGUGAAGAUUGGGGUUCUGCUGCCACAAGCCAGGGAACUACCAGCAGCUCAGAGAGAGGCCUAGAAUCGAGCCUACCCUGGCGCCUUCAGAGGCAGCAUGACUGCCCACCUUGAUCUCGGAUGUCCAGCCUCCAGAACUGUGGGACAAUACAUUUCUGCUAUGUAAGCCCCGAGUCGGUGGUCGUGGCAACCCUAGCAAACUAAUACAUGCUAGAAGGACCCAAA